UACGUAGGGGGCUAGCGUUGUCCGGAAUCAUUGGGCGUAAAGCGCGCGUAGGCGGCCCGGUAAGUCCGCUGUAAAAGUCCAGGGCUCAACCCUGGAAAGCCGGUGGAUACUGUCGGGCUCGAGUCCGGAAGAGGCGAGUGGAAUUCCUGGUGUAGCGGUGGAAUGCGCAGAUAUCAGGAGGAACACCAAUGGCGAAGGCAGCUCGCUGGGACGGUACUGACGCUAAGGCGCGAAAGCGUGGGUAGCAAACAGG
rnacentral:rRNA from 1 species